GCUAGUCGGUGUCAUUGCUUUCUCGCCUCCUCCAAAACUACUGUAAUCCAGUUUAUUUCUUUUUCAAACAGAACAAGAUAGAUGGUCACCCACUCUGAGUAAUCCUUCUGGCCACAGCUGUGACUAUAUUGGUGUAUGCAAUGGACUGAUGGAGAUUGUGGAUGCACAAUGGUGUAGACGACUGGACCUUCAGUGGGGAAUGCAAUUUCCAUGGUGAUGGGAGCACACACGCCGGUAUGCGCCAGAGACGGGACUUUGUGGUCCGCGGUUGAUGACGUAAACGGAUGUAGCUACACGGGGCUCCGUGAGCGUCUGCACAUGUGGUGAUUUGUAACUGUUAUUUAAGAUUACUAUCGGGAUAAAAUGCUUCCACGUGGGUUCAGAAUAAAGAAUACUCCCACAAUAGGGCGGCAUAACCCUGAAUUCUGCAGAAAAUGGGCUGCAGUGCUUAAUAAGGCAUCUUUUGACUUGAUCUUGCUGGUAGUAGAAGAGGCGGCACGGGAAUUGGAAGUGGUCCGCAAAAAGAUUAAAGACCUUGAGAUGUUUCCAUGGUGAUGGGAGCACACACGCCGGUAUGCGCCAGAGACGGGACUUUGUGGUCCGCGGUUGAUGACGUAACCGGAUGUAGCUACACGGGGCUCCGUGAGCGUCUGCACAUGUGGUGAUUUGUAACUGUUAUUUAAGAUCUACCCCUGAUGCAGUCUCAGCAUGAGAUGAAACGCAUUGGAUUAUUCCUGCAAUUGUGAUCUCUGAUCUUCAAAGCAAGAAGUGGAGAGAGGAAUUUCUGUAAAAAAAAACGCACACUGUCUACCAUGAGUAAAUUUUUAUGUGAACAUGGUUUUUAAUAAAUGUGUAAACUUGGAA